rnacentral:rRNA from 1 species
CCUACGGGGAGCAGCAGUGAGGAAUAUUGGUCAAUGGACGAUAGUCUGAACCAGCCAAGUAGCGUGAAGGAUGACUGCCCUAUGGGUUGUAAACUUCUUUUAUAUGGGAAUAAAAUGUUCCACGUGUGGGAUUUUGUAUGUACCAUAUGAAUAAGGAUCGGCUAACUCCGUGCCAGCAGCCGCGGUAAUACGGAGGAUCCGAGCGUUAUCCGGAUUUAUUGGGUUUAAAGGGAGCGUAGGUGGAUUGUUAAGUCAGUUGUGAAAGUUUGCGGCUCAACCGUAAAAUUGCAGUUGAAACUGGCAGUCUUGAGUACAGUAGAGGUGGGCGGAAUUCGUGGUGUAGCGGUGAAAUGCUUAGAUAUCACGAAGAACUCCGAUUGCGAAGGCAGUUCACUGGACUGCAACUGACACUGAGGCUCGAAAGUGUGGGUAUCAAACAGGAUUAGAUACCCGAGUAGUC